CAGGACUCGCAAGACUCCUAUAACCCUGUGAACCUACUGUAAAUACGUUGCUUCGGCGGGUACGUCCCUGGGAUUCGUCCUGAGACAGCCCGCCGGCAGCCUACAAAUUCUGUUUCUUUGCGUUGGCAUCUCGAGUAAAUCAAAUAAGUUA
rnacentral:misc_RNA from 1 species